rnacentral:rRNA from 1 species
AACACAUGCAAGUCGAGGGGCAGCAUUGGAGUAGCAAUACUUCAGAUGGCGACCGGCGCACGGGUGAGUAACACGUACCCAACCUGCCGCUUACUCGGGGAUAGCCUUUCGAAAGAAAGAUUAAUACCCGAUGGUAUAAAGAGUUCGCAUGUUCUCUUUAUUAAAGAAUUUCGGUAAGCGAUGGGGAUGCGUUCCAUUAGAUAGUUGGCGGGGUAACGGCCCACCAAGUCUACGAUGGAUAGGGGUUCUGAGAGGAAGGUCCCCCACAUUGGAACUGAGACACGGUCCAAACUCCUACGGGAGGCAGCAGUGAGGAAUAUUGGUCAAUGGACGAGAGUCUGAACCAGCCAAGUAGCGUGAAGGAUGACUGCCCUAUGGGUUGUAAACUUCUUUUAUAAGGGAAUAAAGUGAGGGACGUGUCCCUUUUUGUAUGUACCUUAUGAAUAAGGAUCGGCUAACUCCGUGCCAGCAGCCGCGGUAAUACGGAGGAUCCAAGCGUUAUCCGGAUUUAUUGGGUUUAAAGGGAGCGUAGGUUGACAUAUAAGUCAGCUGUGAAAGUUUACGGCUCAACCGUGAAAUUGCAGUUGAUACUGUAUGUCUUGAGUGUACAAGAGGUGGGCGGAAUUCGUGGUGUAGCGGUGAAAUGCUUAGAUAUCGCGAAGAACUCCAAUUGCGAAGGCAGCUCACUGGGGUACAACUGACACUGAGGCUCGAAAGUGUGGGUAUCAAACAGGAUUAGAUACCCUGGUAGUCCACACAGUAAACGAUGAAUACUCGCUGUUUGCGAUAUACAGUAAGCGGCCAAGCGAAAGCAUUAAGUAUUCCACCUGGGGAGUACGCCGGCAACGGUGAAACUCAAAGGAAUUGACGGGGGCCCGCACAAGCGGAGGAACAUGUGGUUUAAUUCGAUGAUACGCGAGGAACCUUACCCGGGCUUGAAUUGCAGAGGAAUAUAGUUGAAAGAUUAUAGCCGCAAGGUCUCUGUGAAGGUGCUGCAUGGUUGUCGUCAGCUCGUGCCGUGAGGUGUCGGCUUAAGUGCCAUAACGAGCGCAACCCUUAUCAUUAGUUACUAACAGGUGAUGCUGAGGACUCUAGUGAGACUGCCGUCGUAAGAUGUGAGGAAGGUGG